AGUGAACGCUGGCGGGAGGAAGAACACAUGCAAGUCGAACGGCAGCACAGUAAGAGCUUGCUCUUACGGGUGGCGAGUGGCGGACGGGUGAGGGAUACAUCGGAAUCUACUUUUUCGUGGGGGAUAACGUAGGGAAACUUACGCUAAUACCGCAUACGACCUACGGGUGAAAGCAGGGGAUCUUCGGACCUUGCGCGAUUGAAUGAGCCGAUGUCGGAUUAGCUAGUUGGCGGGGUAAAGGCCCACCAAGGCGACGAUCCGUAGCUGGUCUGAGAGGAUGAUCAGCCACACUGGAACUGAGACACGGUCCAGACUCCUACGGGAGGCAGCAGUGGGGAAUAUUGGACAAUGGGCGCAAGCCUGAUCCAGCCAUACCGCGUGGGUGAAGAAGGCCUUCGGGUUGUAAAGCCCUUUUGUUGGGAAAGAAAAGCAGCAGGUUAAUACCCCGCUGUUCUGACGGUACCCAAAGAAUAAGCACCGGCUAACUUCGUG
rnacentral:rRNA from 1 species